CCUACGGGCGGCAGCAGUGAGGAAUAUUGGUCAAUGGACGCAAGUCUGAACCAGCCAUGCAGCGUGCAGGAAGACGGCUCUAUGAGUUGUAAACUGCUUUUGUACGAGGGUAAACGCAGAUACGCGUAUCUGUCUGAAAGUAUCGUACGAAUAAGGAUCGGCUAACUCCGUGCCAGCAGCCGCGGUAAUACGGAGGAUUCAAGCGUUAUCCGGAUUUAUUGGGUUUAAAGGGUGCGUAGGCGGUCGGAUAAGUUAGAGGUGAAAUCCCGAGGCUCAACUGCGGAAUUGCAUCUGAUACUGUCAGUCUAGAGAGUAGUAGCGGUAGGCGGAAUGCAUGGUGUAGCGGUGAAAUGCUUAGAGAUCACACAGAACACCGAUUGCGAAGGCAGCUUACCAAGCUACUACUGACGUUGAGGCACGAAAGCGUGGGUAGCAAACAGGAUUAGAUACCCUUGUAGUC
rnacentral:rRNA from 1 species